CCUACGGGUGGCAGCAGUGAGGAAUAUUGGUCAAUGGACGAGAGUCUGAACUAGCCAAGUAGCGUGAAGGAUGACUGCCCUAUGGGUUGUAAACUUCUUUUAUAUGGGAAUAAAAUGUUCCACGUGUGGGAUUUUGUAUGUACCAUAUGAAUAAGGAUCGGCUAACUCCGUGCCAGCAGCCGCGGUAAUACGGAGGAUCCGAGCGUUAUCCGGAUUUAUUGGGUUUAAAGGGAGCGUAGGUGGAUUGUUAAGUCAGUUGUGAAAGUUUGCGGCUCAACCGUAAAAUUGCAGUUGAAACUGGCAGUCUUGAGUACAGUAGAGGUGGGCGGAAUUCGUGGUGUAGCGGUGAAAUGCUUAGAUAUCACGAAGAACUCCGAUUGCGAAGGCAGUUCACUGGACUGCAACUGACACUGAGGCUCGAAAGUGUGGGUAUCAAACAGGAUUAGAUACCCGUGUAGUC
rnacentral:rRNA from 1 species